rnacentral:rRNA from 1 species
AGCAGCCGCGGUAAUUCCAGCUCCAAUAGCGUAUAUUAAAGUUGUUGCAGUUAAAAAGCUCGUAGUUGAAUUUCGGGAUUUGCACAUCGGUCGUGCCUUAAGGGGUAUGAACUGGUGUAGUGAAUUUCUCACCUUCUGGAGAACCGUGAUGUCCUUAAUUGGGUGCCACGAGGAACCAGGACCUUUACUUUGAAAAAAUUAGAGUGUUUAAAGCAGGCAUUUUUGCUUGAAUACAUUAGCAUGGAAUAAUAAAAUAGGACGGCAUGAUUCUAUUUUGUUGGUUUCUAGGAUCACCGUAAUGAUUAAUAGGGAUAGUUGGGGGCAUUAGUAUUCAAUUGUCAGAGGUGAAAUUCUUGGAUUUAUUGAAGACUAACUACUGCGAAAGCAUUUGCCAAGGAUGUUUUCAUUAAUCAAGAACGAAAGUUAGGGGAUCGAAGACGAUCGGAUACCGUCGUAGUCUUAACCAUAAACUAUGCCGACUAGGAAUCAGACGAUGUUAUUUUUUAAUGACUCGUUUGGCACCUUACG